UACGUAGGGGCCGAGCGUUGUCCGGAAUUACUGGGCGUAAAGCGCGCGUAGGCGGCUUUGCAAGUCGGGUGUGAAAUCCCCAGGCUUAACCUGGGAACUGCAUUCGAGACUGCAUUGCUAGAGUAUGGGAGAGGGAAGUGGAAUUUCCGGUGUAGCGGUGAAAUGCGUAGAUAUCGGAAGGAACAUCAGUGGCGAAAGCGACUCCUGGACCAAUACUGACGCUCAUGUGCGAAAGCGUGGG
rnacentral:rRNA from 1 species